AAUAGUUAUGAGAGCAACACUUGUGCGUGAAGUGGGUCAGGGGAGGAAUCCAGCAGCCCUAAGCGAUUUCAGGCGUGUGCUCUUUUUUAUGUUCCCAA
rnacentral:SRP_RNA from 1 species